rfam:Gossypium hirsutum cultivar TM-1 chromosome 13, whole genome shotgun sequence
UGUUAAAAAUUUCAUCCAUUUGUACUGUUAAAAAUUGACGUGACGAGCAGAAUAACAAAUGAGUUACACAUGUCAUGCUACGUGUAUCUCAUGCUAAUGUACAUGGACCAAUUUUUAACGGUACAAAUAGAUGAUUUUUUUAACA